GCUGAUGUUGUUGCACGUCGUGGCAGGGACGUCCGUGUGUGUGCUGCUUGUGCUGGGCGCUGAUGUGGUCGCCCCCGAUCGGAAGGGACGCCGUGGAGCUGCCGCGGGAUAUGGUGGUGGUCCGCUGAUGGAGCUGGGAGCAGACGCGGAGGCAAUGGGCCCGACUCUCUGUGUGCAAAUCAUGAUGACUUGGAGCACUGUCAUGGGAAGUUUUUAUUCAUCUUUACCUAUAUUUAUUGGAUUAGGUUCCAUUGGCAGGUGAGAUUCUUAUCCUGAAUGCUUUAUUCUAUUUUUGCCAAGACACUUCUCCUUAAUAUGUUCAAUAUUCAUAAUAAAUUUGUUGCGGUAGAAUUACAUGAUUUCUAAACAUUUUGAUUCAUAAUACCAAUUUGCUGCAUCAUGGGGUUUAUUAGAAAUCCUAUUGCAUUUCUAAUCAGGAUUGUUUCUAAUGGUGAUUAAAUCUGUCAUAGCGUCAACAGGUUAAAGACGAUGUACCCUUUUCCCGUUUGGAUACCAACCAUUGCAUUCAGCAGUAAGAUCUGUUGCUUAUUUACUUGUAGAAUCAAGUGGGUUAGAGGCAUCUGCUUUUAACUAUUUACGACACUUCAAUAAAACACUCUUUUCUUAUUUGUGUGAAUACUAUUUGUUUCACCUUUUGCACCUCAUCAUCAUAGCAUCUGGUUUCAAAAAUGAAUGACUACUUGCGAAGGUAUUGUUUUUAGUUUCUUCUUUUUGGUUCAGCUUCUUUGAUUUUCAGUAGUUGGUCCGUUAAUCAUCUAAAAAUUUUAGUAAGAUGUUUCUACAUCAUAUUCUUGAAUGUUCCUGAUUUCACAUCCAUGGUAUCUGCUUUGCUUUAGUACAUGUUCAUGGUUCACUCAUGAUUUGUUUCUUUCUCCCUAUCAGUCUUACCAUUUUGUUUUGCUUGCUUUACCUUGUAGCUUCUUCCAGUAGUUGUUUUUUUCCUUUAUGUUAGAGCUGCUCUGUCACACUUUUUAUGCUUUUACGAUGUCCUAAUAAAAGUUUUGUGUGGGCAGAUAAUUUUUUGCUUACUACAAACCGUAAGAAGCUGAAACUUACUGAUUUGGGGCUUGCACGAGAGGAAACUGUAACUGAAAUGAUGACGACUGAAACUGGGACAUACCGAUAUGGACACAGAGGCCAGGGCGGAGGACGUUGUCAAUGGAAAACAUGGCUCCACAUGAAGGUUCACUCGCCAAUAGUCUUCAAGAAGAUGCGAAGGUCAUGGUUCUGAGUUGAUGCCCCUUGAAAAAAAUAUCUUCUCAUUUUCUUGUUUGAAGGAACACUAGGAGAAAUUGAGGAUGCGAAAAAUGUACGGAGGAAAGGGAGACUAGUAGAGGUGCACGGUGAGGCAUCGACGAAUCCUAAAAAGAGAAACUUUUGUCAUGUUGUUCUCAUAUCCAAACUUGAAUCAAGUAUGCUUUUUGAAUGGCUUGCACUAAAGCAGAGUAUAAUUCUUAUACUUGUGUUUUAAAUUGACUACAUGUUGUCGUCUCCUCUUGUAUACAUCUUCCGUAACUACCAUUUUGUGAUGGGUUGUUAAGCUACCAUUCAAGGGAAUGCAUGUUGACAAAUGUAUUGAUGCUUC